rnacentral:rRNA from 1 species
UGGCACCUCGAUGUCGGCUCGUCGCAUCCUGGGGCUGGAGUAGGUCCCAAGGGUUGGGCUGUUCGCCCAUUAAAGCGGUACGCGAGCUGGGUUUAGAACGUCGUGAGACAGUUCGGUCCCUAUCCGCCGCGCGCGUCAGAGACCUGCGAAGGGCUGUUCCUAGUACGAGAGGACCGGAACGGACGAACCUCUGGUGUGCCAGUUGUACCGCCAGGUGCACGGCUGGUUGGCCACGUUCGGCAAGGAUAACCGCUGAAAGCAUCUAAGCGGGAAGCCUGCUUCUAGAUGAGGUCUCUCACCCACACCGAUGGGGUAAGGCCCCCGCCCAGACCAGCGGGUUGAUAGGCCGGAGGUGUAAACACCGCAAGGUGUGCCAGCCGACCGGUACUAACAGGCCGAGGACUUCACCACACCCCC